AAGACAGAACUGGAUUCGUCUGUACCUUACUGUCAAGUUGAGGAGGGAUUCAAAUUCUCUAUAGGGUUAACAGCAAAACACCUGAAGGUUAUUUGUCAUGAAGACUCGAAGCAACACAGACGAAUGAUACACAUCAAAAGUGUGUUGAGUGGUCAUCAGAGUACUCCUCUGAAGUUUACCCUGGAGGACAAUGGAAAGAACAUUCGCAUUGCAAUACACGAAGGACACGAGGCCACAUCAGUAAGAAAAUUCAACAUAACAAUAGAAGAUGAACCGGAUUACGCGACCAGCAGUAGGGAUUCG